CCCGACUCGACCCCCUGCAGACCCAGAGAUGAGUGAGGGAGCCACAUCCUCCUUCCAACAGAUAUCACAUUCAGAGGUCCCGACUCGACCCCCUGCAGACCCAGAGAUGAGUGAGGGAGCCACAUCCUCCUUCCAACAGAUAUCACAUUCAGAGGUCCCGACUCGACCCCCUGCAGACCCAG